rnacentral:rRNA from 1 species
ACGGGAGGCAGCAGUGGGGAAUAUUGCACAAUGGGGGAAACCCUGAUGCAGCGACGCCGCGUGAGUGAAGAAGUUAUUCGUAAUGUAAAGCUCUAUCAGCAGGGAAGAAAAUGACGGUACCUGACUAAGAAGCCCCGGCUAACUACGUGCCAGCAGCCGCGGUAAUACGUAGGGGGCAAGCGUUAUCCGGAUUUACUGGGUGUAAAGGGCGCGUAGGCGGGAGAGCAAGUCAGAUGUGAAAUCCAUGGGCUUAACCCAUGAACUGCAUUUGAAACUGUUCUUCUUGAGUGCUGGAGAGGUAGACGGAAUUCCUUGUGUAGCGGUGAAAUGCGUAGAUAUAAGGAAGAACACCAGUGGCGAAGGCGGUCUACUGGACAGUAACUGACGCUGAGGCGCGAAAGCGUGGGGAGCAAACAGGAUUAGAUACCCUGGUA